AUCCAGCUGACGGGUCCAAAAUAGAACGAAACGCGUUUUCUGGAU
rnacentral:hammerhead_ribozyme from 1 species